CGCGCCCGAGAGGGUGAGGAAAGUCCGGACUCCGCAGGGCAGAGGACCCGGUCGUCAAGGCCGGGAGUGCGGCGUCAAUCGCCGCAGAUGGACAGCGCCACAGAAAACAGACCGCCGCCGCGAGGCGGCAAGGGUGAAAAGGUGGUGCAAGAGACCACCGGGGCGACGCGCGAGCGAGCCCGCAUGGCAAGCCCUCCUCGGAGCAAGAUCAAAUAGGGGAUUGAACGGGCGGCCCGUCCGGUUUGCGUCCGCGAGGAUGCGAUGAAAUCCCGGGUUGAUUGCUCAGAUGAAUGAUCGGAGCCUGGCCUAGCCAGGUGAACAGAAUCCGGCUUACUCGCCGC
rnacentral:RNase_P_RNA from 1 species